ACACAGGUGCUGCAUGGCUGUCGUCAGCUCGUGUCGUGAGAUGUUGGGUUAAGUCCCGCAACGAGCGCAACCCUUGUCAUUAGUUGCCAUCAUUCGGUUGGGCACUCUAAUGAGACUGCCGGUGACAAGCCGGAGGAAGGUGGGGAUGACGUCAAGUCCUCAUGGCCCUUAUGACCAGGGCUUCACACGUCAUACAAUGGUCGGUACAGAGGGUAGCCAAGCCGCGAGGCGGAGCCAAUCUCACAAAACCGAUCGUAGUCCGGAUUGCACUCUGCAACUCGAGUGCAUGAAGUCGGAAUCGCUAGUAAUCGCAGGUCAGCAUACUGCGGUGAAUACGUUCCCGGGUCUUGUACACAC
rnacentral:rRNA from 1 species